GGGGGCAUAGCUCAGUUGGGAGAGCAGCAGACUGAAGUUUCACUGAUCGUUCGGUUUCUGAAGGUCCCGCGUUCAAUCCGCGGUGCCCCCA
rnacentral:tRNA from 1 species